rnacentral:rRNA from 1 species
UACGUACCGUCCAAACGUUAUUCGGAAUUACUGGGCUUAAAGGGUAUGUAGGCGGCGCUGUUAGUCGGGUGUGAAAUCCCACGGCUCAACCGUGGAAGUGCCCCGAUACCUGCUUGUCUUGAGGGAGGAUAGGGGCGAGUGCGGAACGUUCCGGUCGGAGCGGUGAAAUGCGUAGAUAUCGGAAGGAACAUCGGUGGCGAAAGCGGCGCGCUGGACCUCUUCUGACGCUGAGGCGCGAAAGCCAGGGGAGCAAACGGG